CGUGUUUACUGUACCUUAGUUGCUUCGGCGGGCCCGCCAUUCAUGGCCGCCGGGGGCUCUCAGCCCCGGGCCCGCGCCCGCCGGAGACACCACGAACUCUGUCUGAUCUAGUGAAGUCUGAGUUGAUUGUAUCGCAAUCAGUUAAAACUUUCAACAAUGGAUCUCUUGGUUCCGGCAUCGAUGAAGAACGCAGCGAAAUGCGAUAACUAGUGUGAAUUGCAGAAUUCCGUGAAUCAUCGAGUCUUUGAACGCACAUUGCGCCCCCUGGUAUUCCGGGGGGCAUGCCUGUCCGAGCGUCAUUGCUGCCCAUCAAGCACGGCUUGUGUGUUGGGUCGUCGUCCCCUCUCCGGGGGGGACGGGCCCCAAAGGCAGCGGCGGCACCGCGUCCGAUCCUCGAGCGUAUGGGGCUUUGUCACCCGCUCUGUAGGCCCGGCCGGCGCUUGCCGAACGCAAAUCAAUCUUUUUCCAGGUUGACCUCGGAUCAGGUAGGGAUACCCGCUGAACUUAAGCAUAUCGAAGGCCGGAGGAGAAGAUCAUUACCGAGUGUAGGGUUCCUAGCGAGCCAACUCCACCCGUGUUUACUGUACCUUAGUUGCUUGGCGGGCCGCCAUUCAUGGCCGCCGGGGGCUCUCAGCCCGGGCCGCGCCCGCCAGAGACACCACGAACUCUGUCUGAUCUAGUGAAGUCUGAGUUGAUUGUAUCGCAAUCGUUAAAACUUUUCACAUGGUAUCUUUGGUUUGCGCUCAUGAAGAACGCACAAAAUGCAUAACUAAUGUGUAAUUGUGCAAAUCUGCAGAUCAUCAGCUCUUUCUAUGCAUCUGCUCCGCGCCUAUUCUGUGCGGCAGGCGAUCCACGCUCAUGCCGCUAUGCACGCCUUCGGCGUGUGGUGUUGUUGCCUCCCGGGCGCCGAACGGCGCAGAGAAGACGGCGACACGCAAAUCUCG
rnacentral:rRNA from 1 species